rnacentral:rRNA from 1 species
UACGUAGGGGCUAGCGUUGUCCGGAUUUAUGGCGUAAAGAGCUCGUAGGUGGUUUGUCGCGUUGUCCGUGAAAACUCACAGCUUAACUGUGGGCGUGCGGGCGAUACGGGCAGACUUGAGUACUGCAGGGGAGACUGGAAUUCCUGGUGUAGCGGUGGAAUGCGCAGAUAUCAGGAGGAACACCGGUGGCGAAGGCGGGUCUCUGGGCAGUAACUGACGCUGAGGAGCGAAAGCGUGGGGAGCGAACAGG